AGAGUUUGAUCCUGGCUCAGAUUGAACGCUGGCGGAAUGCUUUACACAUGCAAGUCGAACGGCAGCACGGGAGCUUGCUCCUGGUGGCGAGUGGCGAACGGGUGAGUAACAUAUCGGAACGUAUCCAAUAAUGGGGGAUAACUAAUCGAAAGGUUGGCUAAUACCGCAUACGCCCCACGGGGGAAAGCAGGGGAUCGUAAGACCUUGCGUUAAUGGAGCGGCCGAUAUCUGAUUAGCUAGUUGGUGGGGUAAAGGCCCACCAAGGCGACGAUCAGUAGCUGGUCUGAGAGGACGACCAGCCACACUGGAACUGAUACACGGUCCAGACUCCUACGGGAGGCAGCAGUGGGGAAUUUUGGACAAUGGGCGCAAGCCUGAUCCAGCCAUUCCGCGUGAGUGAAGAAGGCCUUCGGGUUGUAAAGCUCUUUCGCAAGGGAAGAAAACUUAUCUUCGAAUAAUAGGUGAGGCUGACGGUACCUUGAUAAGAAGCACCGGCUAACUACGUGCCA
rnacentral:rRNA from 1 species